rnacentral:tRNA from 1 species
GUGGGUGUGGCGCAGUGGUAGCGCACCUGAUUGUGGUUCAGGUGGUCGCGGGUUCGAACCCCGUCACUCACCCCA